rnacentral:rRNA from 1 species
CAAGGCUAAAUACUCCUGACUGACCGAUAGUGAACCAGUACCGUGAGGGAAAGGCGAAAAGAACCCCUGUGAGGGGAGUGAAAUAGAUCCUGAAACCGCAUGCAUACAAGCAGUGGGAGCACCUUCGUGGUGUGACUGCGUACCUUUUGUAUAAUGGGUCAGCGACUUAUAUUCAGUAGCAAGGUUAACCGUAUAGGGGAGCCGUAGAGAAAUCGAGUCUUAAUAGGGCGUUUAGUUGCUGGGUAUAGACCCGAAACCAGGCGAUCUAUCCAUGAGCAGGUUGAAGGUUGGGUAACACUAACUGGAGGACCGAACCCACUGUCGUUGAAAAGCCAGGGGAUGACUUGUGGAUAGGGGUGAAAGGCUAAUCAAGCCUGGUGAUAGCUGGUUCUCCCCGAAAGCUAUUUAGGUAGCGCCUCGGACGAAUACCAUAGGGGGUAGAGCACUGUUUCGGCUAGGGGGUCAUCCCGACUUACCAAACCGAUGCAAACUCCGAAUACCUAUGAGUACUAUCCGGGAGACAGACUGCGGGUGCUAACGUCCGUAGUCAAGAGGAAAACAAUCCAGACCGCCAGCUAAGGCCCCAAAAUCAUAGUUAAGUGGGAAACGAUGUGGGAAGGCAUAGACAGCUAGGAGGUUGGCUUAGAAGCAGCCACCCUUUAAAGAAAGCGUAAUAGCUCACUAGUCGAGUCGGCCUGCGCGGAAGAUGUAACGGGGCUAAAA